UACGUAGGGGGCAAGCGUUGUCCGGAAUCAUUGGGCGUAAAGCGCGUGUAGGCGGCCAGAAAAGUCCGCUGUGAAAACUCGAGGCUCAACUUCGAGCUGUCGGUGGAAACUUUCUGGCUAGAGUCCGGAAGAGGAGAAUGGAAUUCCUGGUGUAGCGGUGAAAUGCGCAGAUAUCAGGAAGAACACCCGUGGCGAAGGCGGUUCUCUGGGACGGUACUGACGCUGAGACGCGAAAGCGUGGGGAUCGAACAGG
rnacentral:rRNA from 1 species